AGAUACAUAUCUGGAGUCGAUUUUUAUAUACGGUGUGAGGCAAGGAGUGAAAGUGCCACGUGCACAUCAUGGAGGAACUCUAAAUCUCACAGCAGGAGGAUCUGAAAAGGUCACCGUUUAGCUGUAAAAGAAUGGUACAAAUCCUUGACCAACCAGUGCUACAAGUUGGUGGGGGCUCCUCAGGAGGGAGACCAGACACUACUUUUUCCAUUAGUUCCUUAUUCAUUCAUUCAAGUGUUGACUGUGCACCUAUGUUGUGAUAGGCGCAGAGCUAGAAGCUGCGUAUACAGUGAGCGGUAAACCGAACAGGACACAACCUCUAUUCUCAUGGAACUUAUAGUCUCAUGUGGGAGAGAGACCAUCAAUAAUCAGGUAUCAUAUAUAUAUGACAUAUAUAUAUAAAUCCCAAGACUGGAAACAGGAACAGGAAGAAGGCAACUGCAGCUGUCCAGGACAGAUCUAAGACACACUUCAGGAAACGGUGAGUUUCACUCAGAGUGAGGAAGGGGGAGGCAUUCAGAUAAUCCCUGUUUUUGGAUUCAGAAUUGAGCAACUAAGUGGAUAGUGAUGAUAACUGAAAUUGGGGAGGGGUAAAGAGGGACGCUUAGGGGGCAGUUCCAGAAUUUCUACUUAGGAGAGGCUAGCGGUGGUCAGCUAGUUGGAAGUGGGGGCUUUUGUGCAUUUGCAUAGCAUUUCUAGCAUCAGGAUAGGUUCGAUUAUACUGCAGUCACCUAAAAUAUACACACAACAUGCACACACUCACUUCAGAACUAAAACACAGCAAAAACGUCAGUGACUUAUACAAUAGUUUUUCUUUCUUUUUUUCUUGCUCAAAGUUUGCUACAGGUUUAAAUGACACUCUGGGCAAUUUUCCUACACGUGAUGGUUUAGCAUUCCAGGCUGUUUUGAUCUUAGGCAUCUGUAUCUCAACACAUGAUAACUUUGCAACAAAGAAAGGGGGGGGGGGAGACAGCAAGGAGAAUUGUGCACCUGUUCCUAAAUAUUUCCACCUAGAUGCAAUAUGUGUAGUUUCCCCCCACAUUUCAGUGGUCACAGUAAUUGCCCUCACCAACUGCAAGGAGGUGGAUAAAUAUAAAUCUCCCAAAUGUCUGGGAAAGGAAGGGGGCUGGAAGUAUUGA